CUACGGGAGGCAGCAGUGGGGAAUAUUGCACAAUGGGGGAAACCCUGAUGCAGCGACGCCGCGUGAGUGAAGAAGUAUUUCGGUAUGUAAAGCUCUAUCAGCAGGGAAGAAAAUGACGGUACCUGACUAAGAAGCCCCGGCUAACUACGUGCCAGCAGCCGC
rnacentral:rRNA from 1 species